GAUGAACGCUGGCGGCGUGCCUAAUACAUGCAAGUCGAGCGAACAGACGAGGAGCUUGCUCCUCUGACGUUAGCGGCGGACGGGUGAGUAACACGUGGAUAACCUACCUAUAAGACUGGGAUAACUUCGGGAAACCGGAGCUAAUACCGGAUAAUAUAUUGAACCGCAUGGUUCAAUAGUGAAAGACGGUUUUGCUGUCACUUAUAGAUGGAUCCGCGCGGCAUUAGCUAGUUGGUAAGGUAACGGCUUACCAAGGCAACGAUGCGUAGCCGACCUGAGAGGGUGGUCGGCCACACUGGAGCUGAGACACGGUCCAGACGCCUGCGGGAGGCAGCAGUAGGGAAUCUUCCGCAAUGGGCGGAAGCCUGGCGGAGCGGCGCCGCGUGAGUGAUGAAGGUCUUCGGAGCGUAAAACUCUGUUAUUAGGGAAGAACAAAUGUGUAAGUAACUGUGCACGUCGUGACGGUACCUAAUCAGAAAGCCACGGCUAACUACGUG
rnacentral:rRNA from 1 species